rnacentral:rRNA from 1 species
AUUGAACGCUGGCGGCAGGCCUAACACAUGCAAGUCGAGCGAGCGGCGGACGGGGGAGUAAUGUCUGGGAAACUGCCUGAUGGAGGGGGAUAACUACUGGAAACGGUAGCUAAUACCGCAUACCAUCAGAUGUGCCCAGAUGGGAUUAGCUAGUAGGUGGGGUAAUGGCUCACCUAGGCGACGAUCCCUCGCUGGUCUGAGAGGAUGACCAGCCACACUGGAACUGAGACACGGUCCAGACUCCUACGGGAGUCAGCAGUGGGGAAUAUUGCACAAUGGGCGCAAUCCUGAUGCAGCCAUGCCGCGUGUGUGAAGAAGGCCGUCGGGUUGUAAAGCACUUUCAGCGGCGAGGCGUUACCCGCAGAAGAAGCACCGGAUCACUCCGCGCCAGCAGCCGCGGUAAUUC